rnacentral:lncRNA from 1 species
GGACAAUAACAUAAGCUGCCGGAAAACUUCUGCAUUUUUACCUCCUUCCCUCCUGCCUGGGCAAAAAUUGGAUUAAAGACGAGAGAAGCAAAGCCACACGGGGAUGGAGCGCAGAAGGUUAUAAAGUUACGCUAGUCUUUGGAGAAGGACAAUGCAGGUUAUUCUCCAUAUGGAACUCACUCAGCUGUCUCUGUUAACCGACACUCGGAAUCAGAAACAAGGACAAGAAACAGGUUUCUCUCUUUCUUAGGAAUCCCGGUUAUUAAACGUGCCAAGAAUUCAUCAGUUAUUUCCAGGCAUCUGGUGUUUGGUUGCAUGGAGGGGUGUGUCUCCCCAUGAGAAUAUUUGCAUUUCCCCCUGUUUGCACAACUCCACCUCCAUGUGCAUGUACAUGUGCACAUGCAUAUAUGCAUUUCCCAUUUCCCAGCCUGAAUUGGGCAUUAUUCACACAGAAGCUGAACAACUUCACAGAUCAGCUCCGGUGGCCUCCAAAAUGUGACGUCUUAGAUGUGUCAGUGCCCCACUACCAUGGCAACAUCAUUGGACUGGAGAAGGGACAUGAAGUUUCAAAGAAACAAUCUUGAUAGCAAGGAGGCCUCCCCAGACUGAAGACCCCUGCUCACCUUUCUUCUUCCAGCCAAGGGGCUUUGAA